AUAUGUAGGCAUAGUUAUGCUCCAGGCACUAGCCUGGGUGCAGUAAAAUGGUUACUUUGGAUUUGGUUUGCUUUUAUUUUUGUUUUUUUUGGUUUGGGUUUUUUUUUUUUUUUGAUGGGGUGGUUACUGGAAACUGAACCCAAGGCUUUGCACGUGCCAGUCAAAAGGGUUCUCAUUGUUUAUUAAACUUAUUAUCGUCAUUUAAAGCAUUUUAAGAAGAUACUAAGUAUUGGCUGUGGAAAAUGCAAAAUUGAGUUUCUAGUUUUCUAGUGGGCAAAAUUUCUACAAAUAUUUAUGGACUUCUUUUCCUCUGUCCCUGAGUUCAUCUUGCAAAGGCAGCUUGCUUUUAUGGGCGCUCAGCAAAGCUCCCUCCCGGAGCUAUAAUCUGAACCAUUUGUGGUGACUCUGCUUUCUGGGUAUUCUAAUUAUUCUGCAGGUUAUGUACAAAGAAAACCCGGGAACAGGCAUCCCGACCACUGUCACUCCAGAGAUUGAGAGAGUCAAACGCAACCAAGAGAACUUUAGCUCGGUAUUUACAGAUACAUGAAAUAAGACAUUCUGUCCCAUAAAAAAACUACCAGAAUAACCUCCCGUUCUACUUUUCAAAGUAACAGCUUAACGACUCAGUGUGUGUUUUGUGUAUCAUCCUCUGAUGAAAACCACCUGACCUGAUGCAGAAUUGGCCACUCUUCGCUCUUUAACAGUUUCAGCAACUGACUGGUGUGAGCUAGAUCUGAAACACUGUUAGCAGCAUUAACAAGCUUCCUUGGGGUGCUUGAACCCUGGAACCCAGUGCUUCCUGCUGUACCUAAGACAUAGCAGUGUAAAGUGCAUCUGUAAAGUUGUCACUUUCAGAACAUUACCCUGACUAAAUACUGCUCUCUAAAAUCGCCCUCCUCACCCACACCCCAACCUACCCCCUUCCUCCGUCUCUGCUUGUUUUGAAUGUUUUCUGGGUACUUUCUUGUAUCUCACAGGUUUUGUACAAAGAAAGUUUGGGAAAAGGAACCCCUACAGCUAUCACUCCAGAGAUGGAGAGAGUCAAACGCAAUCAAGAGAACUUUAGCUCGGUAUUUCUUAGGGGCAAAAAAUCCUGACCCUAAUACUUAUUAUAAUACGGUCACAUUAAUAUCUUUAACAAACAAAUGUAAAAUUACUAAGUUCAUAUAAUGAAGGAAUGAUGCCAGUAUUACUUCAGAUUUCCACCCAAAUCUAAUGAAAUUUUUAACAAUGGUGUGAAAUUUUAACUGUUUUCUUUAAAUCACUUUCCUUAAAAACCCAUAAUUUCUCAGUUUCCUUCCUCCAGUCUAACUAGUAUGGCACAGGUCAAAAGUUAAAUCUAACAUCCUUCCCCAAAGGUCAGUACUAACCAGAAUCAUAUUUACUGUGACUUGAUUUUUUUUUUUAAAUAUUUGUAGCUUUUCCUAAGUGGUCAUGUUUCUUAAAACAUCUUCAUUUGACAACAACAGACCAAUUUAUAUGGCUCAGGAAGAUUUACUUAUGUCAGGGAGCUCUGUUUGUUUGUUUGUUUCCUUCGGGAUGUAUUCAGGAUCAGUAGUUUAAAUGUUCAUAGAGAUUUAUUUAAUCUCAAGUCCUCUGUUUUUCAAUGUUGUCUCUAACUCAUUAUAGAUAGUAACUUCAGUUAGCUUACGUGCUGUCUGGUCGAGCCCAAUCCUCUCUAUUUGAGAAGUUAUACAUAAGCUAAGCAACCCUGUGUGUGCAUCAGUGUUACCAGGAGACCAACUACUGUACAGGGGACAACUAAACGCACAACGGCAGUCCGCACUUGCUCUAUUUUGCAGGUUUAUUUUCGUUCUUUGUAAGGACAGGAACUCGUGGUGAUUUAUUUUAAGAUGAGAUCUACCUGAAAGAUGGAUCCAUUGCUGAUGUGACUGUUGGUUCUGUGCACGCAGAUACUGUACAAAGAGAACCUGAGCAAGGGGACCCCCUUACCUGUCACUCCAGAGAUGGAGAGAGCCAAGCGCAAUCAAGAAAACUUUAGCUCGGUAUUUGCGAGAAAGUUCCUUUAACUCCAUAUUAAAAACAAUUUCGAUAAAACAAAAUCCUUACCAUUUACCCCUUUAUAAUAAUUUAACAAAUACUUGGGGGAAAAAAACCCCACAAACAAAAAAAACCCUCACCAACUGAAUCCUUCUGCCAUGGAUAUUUUACUUACCAUUUUAAACCAAUGCUUUGUACUUUCUGAAAUACCCCUUAAACCUUCUUUAAACCUUCUUUAUGUUAGAUGUGUGGGUAUAUCUGUAUUAACUUUGUGUCUGUAUGUGGUGUUGGGAAUUGGACUCAUGGCCUUGCAUGGGUUAAGCCAGUGCUCUACCACUUAGGCCCCUCCCUUAACAUUUUGAAUUGGUUCUUUUCCUUUUCAACAUUGUUAGUCUUGGUCCUCUUGAAAUUAAAUGACUUCCAAAUGACCCAAAACUGGGAGCUUGUAUUUCCUUGGAAAUCUUUCAAUCUGAUGUUUCUGGGUUAGUGCAACAAGACACUGGUCCAAGGCUGUAUGUGAGAACAGCUCCCUGGCUUGGGAAAGUGGUGACUUGACCACAGGUCCUAUGUGCAUAGAUAGAGAUGGACUCAAGUAUUGGAACCAAAAGACUUACUUUGAUAGUUGUUCUAAACGAGCCAUCACAUGACUAGAAAUCUAUGCUUUCCAUUUUUUUUAAAAGACAGGAUCAUCCUAUGUAGGCUAGGGUGACUUUAAACAUGCCACCCUCCUGCCUCAGCCUCCCCGGCCCUAGUUUCAUAGGCAUGGUUUUAUAAAACAUGCUAAUUAAAUCAGAACAUGAAUUUACAUUAUUUUCUUUUAUUAACUUAUAUUCC
rnacentral:lncRNA from 1 species